rnacentral:rRNA from 1 species
UGGGGAAUCUUGCGCAAUGGGCGAAAGCCUGACGCAGCGACGCCGCGUGAGUGAUGAAGGCCUUCGGGUUGUAAAGCUCUGUGGGGAGAGACGAAUAAGUGCGGGCUAAUACUCCGCAUGAUGACGGUAUCUCCUUAGCAAGCACCGGCUAACUCUGUGCCAGCAGCCGCGGUAAGACAGAGGGUGCAAACGUUGUUCGGAAUUACUGGGCGUAAAGCGAGUGUAGGCGGUUUCGUAAGUCGGAUGUGAAAGCCCCGGGCUCAACCCGGGAAGUGCACUCGAUACUGCGAGGCUAGAGUACUGGAGAGGUUGGUGGAAUUCUCGGUGUAGAGGUGAAAUUCGUAGAUAUCGAGAGGAACACCGGUGGCGAAGGCGGCCAACUGGACAGAUACUGACGCUGAGACUCGAAAGCGUGGGGAGCAAACA